GUGCUUGCUUCAGCAGCACAUACACUAAAAUUGGAAUGAUACACAGAACAUUAAUGUGGCCCCUAUGCAAGGAUGACACACAAAUUCAUAAAGCAUUCCAUAUUUUU
ensembl:snRNA RNU6-147P RNA, U6 small nuclear 147, pseudogene